ensembl:lncRNA
GGGUCCCCUUUAUAGAGGUCCAUUAUUUGGGGAGGUCACUUGGGGGGGGGUCCCCACUUUCGCGGGUCUCCCACGUAGNACCAUGAUCCCAUUACCACCAUGGUCCCAUUACAACCAUGAUCCCAUUAUUACCACCAUGAUCCCAUUACCACCAUGAUCCCAUUACCACCAUGAUCCCAUUACAACCAUGAUCCCAUUACCACCAUGAUCCCAUUACCACCAUCCCAUUACCACCAUCAUCCCCCAUUGUCCCCAUUGUCUCAUUGUCCCAUUUUCCCCAUUGUCCCCCUUGUCCCCAUCAUCCCCCAUUGUCCCCAUUGUCCCAUUGUCCCAUUGUCCCCAUUAUCCCAUUGUCCCCAUCAUCCCCCAUUGUCCCCAUUGUCCCCAUUGUCCCAUUGUCCCAUUGUCCCAUUGUCCCCAUUAUUCCAUUGUCCCCAUUGUCUCAUUGUCCCCCAUUAUGCCACAUUGUGCCCAUUAUCCCAUUAUCCCAUUGUCCCAUUGUCCCAUUGACCCCCAUUGUGCCCAUUAUCCCAUUAUCCCAUUGUCCCAUUGUCCCCAUUGACCCCCAUUGUGCCCAUUAUCCCAUUAUCCCAUUAUCCCAUUGUCCCCAUUAUCCCAUUCUCCCAUUCUCCCAUUUUCCCAUUAUCCCAUUGUCUCAUUGUCCCCCAUUGUCCCAUCAUCCCCCAUUGUCCCACUGUCCCCCAUUGUCCAUUAUCCCAUUGUCCCAUUACCACAUUGUCCCAUUGUCCCAUUGUCCUCCAUUGUCCCCAUUGUCCCCCAUUGUCCCCAUUGUCCCAUUGUCCCCCAUUGUCCCAUUGUCCCCCAUUGUCCCCAUUAGCCCAUUGUCCCCCAUUGUCCCAUUGUCCCAUUAUUGUCCCAUUGUCCCAUUGUCCCAUUGUCCCAUUGUCCCAUUGUCCCAUUAUUGUCCCAUUGUCCCAUUGUCCCAUUGUCCCAUUGUCCCAUUAUUGUCCCAUUGUCCCAUUGUCCCAUUGUCCCAUUGUCCCAUUAUUGUCCCAUUAUUGUCCCAUUGUCCCAUUAUUGUCCCAUUGUCCCAUUGUCCCAUUGUCCUCCAUUGUCCCCAUUGUCCCCACUGUCCCAUUGUCCCCCAUUGUCCCAUUGUCCCAUUAUUGUCCCAUUGUCCCAUUGUCCCAUUGUCCCAUUGUCCCAUUGUCCCAUUGUCCCAUUGUCCCAUUAUUGUCCCAUUGUCCCAUUGUCCCAUUGUCCCAUUGUCCCCAUUGUCCCCACUGUCCCAUUGUCCCCAUUGUCCCCACUGUCCCAUUGUCCCCCAUUGUCCCCCAUUGUCCCCAUUAUUUCCCAUUGUCCCAUUGUCCCAUUAUUGUCCCAUUGUCCCAUUGUCCCCAUUGUCCCUAAUAUCCCCAUUGUCGCAUUGUCCCCAUUGUCCCAUUGUCCCAUUGUCCCCAUUGUCCCAUUGUCCCCAAUAUCCCCUUGUCCCCAUUGCCCCCAUUGUCCCAUUGUCCCAUUGUCCCCCAUUGUCCCAUUGUCCCAUUAUUGUCCCAUUAUUGUCCCAUUGUCCCAUUAUUGUCCCAUUGUCCCAUUGUCCCAUUGUCCCAUUGUCCCAUUAUCCCAUUGUCCCAUUCUCCCAUUGUCCAAUUGUCCCCCGCCAUUGUCCCCCAUUGUCUCAUUGUCCCACUGUCCCAUUGUCCCAUUGUCCCCAUUAUCCCCAUUGUCCCAUUGUCCCAUUGUCCCAUUGUCCCCAUUAUUGUCCCAUUGUCCCAUUGUCCCAUUGUCCCAUUAUCCCAUUAUCCCCCAUUGUCCCAUUAUCCUAUUGUCGCAUUAUCCUCCAUUAUCCCCCAUUAUCCCCCAUUAUCCCAUUAUCCCAUUAUCCCCUAUUAUCCCAUUAUCCCCCAUUAUCCCAUUAUCCCAUUAUCCCCUAUUAUCCCAUUAUCCCCCAUUAUCCCCCAUUACCCCAUUACCCCAUUAUCCCCCAUUACCCCAUUACCCCAUUACCCCAUUAUCCCCUAUUAUCCCCCAUUAUCCCAUUAUCCCC